rnacentral:rRNA from 1 species
UACGUAGGGGGCUAGCGUUGUCCGGAAUCAUUGGGCGUAAAGAGCGUGUAGGCGGUCCGGUAAGUCCGCUGUGAAAGUCGGGGGCUCAACCCUCGAAUGCCGGUGGAUACUGUCGGGCUAGAGUGCGGAAGAGGCGAGUGGAAUUCCUGGUGUAGCGGUGGAAUGCGCAGAUAUCAGGAGGAACACCUAUAGCGAAGGCAGCUUGCUGGGACGUUACUGACGCUAAGGCGCGAAAGCGUGGGGAGCGAACAGG